AUGCCAUUGUUACCUGGGCAAACACGCUGGAAAUUGCAGGUUCGUGCACAGUCGAAGCAAAAAAGAAUCAUGAUGGACAGGUGCGUAAUCUUCGCCCCCGGCCCAGUCCACUUGCAUCCCAACUUUCACAAAAGCUCGGUUGUGCCCAUCCGGUGCUCCAAUGUUGACUUGGAUCAUGUCCUCAGUGGCGUACCAGUGUCCAGAGCCACCUUCCCGAUGAAAUACCUGGGACUCCCACUCUCGGUCUGGCAGCUCAAGUAUGUAGAUUUCCAAUACCUUGAGGACAAGGCGGCCGGCAAACUUGUCACCUGGGACGGGCAAAACAUCACCACCAUCGGGCGCACGACACUUGUCAAAUCAGUCAUUGCCUCCCAGGCAGUGUAUGCCAUCACGCCCCUCAUCGUGCCACCACGCUCUCUUCACAAUAUCAACAAAUUGGAGAGGGCCUUUCUCUGGUCUGGUUCAGAUAAGACGACCGGUGCCAAAUGUAAAGUGAAUUGGAAGGUGGUAUGUCGCCCCAAGGAAUAUGGAGGCCUUGGGGUUCUAGACACUGACAAGUUUGCUCGGGCCUUACGUCUUAGAUGGCCUUGGUAUGAAUGGAAGGCACCGAACAAGCUUUGGGUGGGGCUUGGGAACCCCUGCACGGAGGACGACAUGGACUUUUUCUAUGCCUCAACGACCAUCAUUUUGGGCAAUGGAGCCAAAACACCUUUUUGGGACUCCCCAUGGCUUCUUGGGCGGAAACCGAAGGACAUUGCUCCUUUAAUAUACGGUGCCUUCACGCGUAAGAAUUGGAAAGUGCGUGAAGCCCUCGAUGGAAAUGCUUGGAUUCUUAAGAUCAACCAUAACAUCGUCGCUUCCAUUGCCCACAUCCGUCAGUUCUUCACGUUAUGGAUGUUGGUGCAUGAUCUACACCUGGACACACAAGCUGACGAUGACAUUAUCUAG
rnacentral:rRNA from 1 species